rnacentral:rRNA from 1 species
GACGAACGCUGGCGGCGUGGAUUAGGCAUGCAAGUCGAACGGUAUCAUCCUUUCGGGGGUGAGAGAGUGGCGAACUGGUGAGUAACACGUAGGUUAUCUACCCUCAAGACGGGGACAACCCAGGGAAACUUGGGCUAAUACCGGAUGUGAGCAACUUUUAGUUGUUUGAAAGGUGGCGUAAGCUGUCGCUUGGGGAUGAGCCUGCGUCCUAUUAGUUAGUUGGUGAGGUAACGGCUCACCUAGGCAAUGAUAGGUAGGCGGCCUUAACGGGUGGUCGCCCACACUGGGAUUGAGAUACGGCCCAGACUCCUACGGGAGCAGCAGUCGAGAAUAGUCUACAAUGGUCGGAAGACUGAUAGUGCGACGCCGCGUGAACGAUGAAUCCCUUCGGGGUGUAAAGUUCUUUUAUAUGUGAGCAGUGCUUCUUAUAUUAACAGUAUGGGGAGAGAGAUAUUAGCAUAUGAAUAAGCAACGGCUAACUCCGUGCCAGCAGCCGCGGU